rnacentral:rRNA from 1 species
GAUGAACGCUGGCGGCGUGCCUAAUACAUGCAAGUCGAGCGAACAGACGAGGAGCUUGCUCCUCUGACGUUAGCGGCGGACGGGUGAGUAACACGUGGAUAACCUACCUAUAAGACUGGGAUAACUUCGGGAAACCGGAGCUAAUACCGGAUAACAUGUUGAACCGCAUGGUUCAACAGUGAAAGACGGUCUUGCUGUCACUUAUCGAUGGAUCCACGCCGCAUUAGCUAGUUGGUAAGGUCACGGCUUACCAAGGCAACGAUCCGUAGCCGACGUGGGAGAGUGGUAGGCGACACUGGAGGUUGAACACGGUCCAGAGGCCUACGGGAGGGAGCAGUAGGGAAUCGUCCGCAAUAGUCGGAAGCCUGACGGAGCAACGCCGCGUGAGUUGAAAAAGUCUCGGGAUCGUAAAACUCUGUUAUUAGGUAUGAACAAAUGUGAACAUAACUGUGCACGACUUGACGGUACCUAAACAAAAAGCCACGGCUAACUACGUG